GUUGGGGACGCGUGGAAAAAGACCCAGAGGUGGCGGCCGGGAGGGAGGGGACGGCAGGAAGCCUGCAGCCGUGCCCCGCGCCUGCACCAGCACCGCACAGGCACGGUGAGCCUCGAGCGCUGCACGCAGACGCAGAAAGGAAGAAUAACGGCCUGGUGGUGCAGGCCUGACGGCCCAGCCCUCGGGAGGCUGAGGCAGGAGGGUCACAGAGGUUGAGGCCAGCCUGGGCCGCAACCGCAGAGCCUGCGUCUCCCAGCUCUCCCGUCCUGCCCGCAGAGAGGCUGCUCCCUCCCAACAUCAGCACCGAGUGCAACGGCACCCACGCGCACAUGUCGUGGCCCCCGCCGCGGAGCCAUUUCCAGAGAAACUUUAAGUACGAGCUCCAGACCCGCCAGGUCCCAGGAGGCUCUCUGGUCCCCAUACACAGCAUCAGUACGAACGAGUUCCACCUCCCCAACCCCGGGAAGUACACGGUGCGGAUAAGAGCCUGUUACCGGUCCAACCGGUGGACGGCGUGGGGCCCGCUCCGAACCUUUGAGUGUGGCCCGGCGGAGAGCACAUCCACGCGGCUGUGGCGGACGUCCGUGCUGGGGGCUCUGGGGACGCUGGUCCUGGUGGUGCUGGCCGCCCUUCUCUGCAAAAGGUGGGCGCCACGCCGGCCCCUUCCCGGUGACCUCCGUGCCGGGCUGAGCCCCAUGGCUGCUGAGGGUGGGGGACCGGGCCUGUUGUGUCUCCUCGGGGCCCUGACGGUGCCUGGGAGGUGGGAGCAGGGCGACUCCCAUCGGCCCGGUAGAGGGAGAAGAGCCCCCCGCCCCCAGCGCAGUGGUGCACAGCUGUCAGCCCAGCACCCUGGGAGGCUGAGACAGGAGGAUCUCAGGUUCCAGCCCAACCUAGGCAACUCAGCAAGGCCUUGCCCCAAACUCAAAUAAGGAAACAGAGGGAAGGUGGACGGACAGGGUAUGGAUCUAGGGGCCAGGGGUCUGGCAGAAGCCAGCCAACCGUUCCCACAGCAGCGCUGCUCUGUCACGGCCCUGGGCCUCAAGACCCAGCCGCAGGGCUCGGCCGGCCCCCAUGAGGCCCUGUCCUCAGCGGGUCCCGCCCCCCCAGGUACUCGCUCCCCCUCAAAUAAGGAAACAGAGGGAAGGUGGACGGACAGGGUAUGGAUCUAGGGGCCAGGGGUCUGGCAGAAGCCAGCCAACCGUUCCCACAGCAGCGCUGCUCUGUCACGGCCCUGGGCCUCAAGACCCAGCCGCAGGGCUCGGCCGGCCCCCAUGAGGCCCUGUCCUCAGCGGGUCCCGCCCCCCCAGGUACUCGCUCCCCGCUCCCC
rnacentral:lncRNA from 1 species